UGGGGAAUAUUGGACAAUGGGCGAAAGCCUGAUCCAGCCAUGCCGCGUGAGUGAUGAAGGCCUUAGGGUUGUAAAGCUCUUUUAGUGGGGAAGAUAAUGACGGUACCCACAGAAAAAGCCCCGGCUAACUUCGUGCCAGCAGCCGCGGUAAUACGAAGGGGGCUAGCGUUGUUCGGAUUUACUGGGCGUAAAGCGCACGUAGGCGGAUCGUUAAGUUGGGGGUGAAAUCCUGGAGCUCAACUCCAGAACUGCCUUCAAUACUGGCGAUCUAGAGUCCGGAAGAGGUGAGUGGAACUCCUAGUGUAGAGGUGGAAUUCGUAGAUAUUAGGAAGAACACCAGUGGCGAAGGCGGCUCACUGGUCCGGUACUGACGCUGAGGUGCGAAAGCGUGGGGAGCAAACA
rnacentral:rRNA from 1 species